UACAGAGGGGGCAAGCGUUGUUCGGAAUUACUGGGCGUAAAGGGCGCGUAGGCGGCCUGCUAAGUCGAACGUGAAAUCCCUGGGCUCAACCCAGGAACUGCGUCCGAUACUGGUUGGCUUGAAUCCGGGAGAGGGAUGUGGAAUUCCAGGUGUAGCGGUGAAAUGCGUAGAUAUCUGGAGGAACACCGGUGGCGAAGGCGACAUCCUGGACCGGCAUUGACGCUGAGGCGCGAA
rnacentral:rRNA from 1 species